rnacentral:rRNA from 1 species
UACAGAGGGUGCAAGCGUUAAUCGGAAUUACUGGGCGUAAAGCGUGCGUAGUCGGCUAUUUAAGUCGGGCGUGAAAGCCCCGGGCUCAACCUGGGAAUUGCGUUCGAUACUGGAUAGCUAGAGUUCGGCAGAGGGAAGCGGAAUUUCUGGUGUAGCGGUGAAAUGCGUAGAUAUCAGAAGGAACAUCAGUGGCGAAAGCGGCUUCCUGGACCAGAACUGACGAUCAGGCACGAAAGCGUGGGGAGCAAACAGG